rnacentral:lncRNA from 1 species
CACUACUCCCCAUAAUUCAAUUCGCGACGAUUGUACAUCCGCUAAGGAAAGUCCGCCAAAACUUAAAAACAACAUCAAUGGAAAAGUCAACUUACAAUACUCAGGAGAGGUGAAGGUCGAGAGCCAUGCAUCCUCCGAAACACAACCCAACCAAGCCGCACUGCUUCUUGACACAACCCACAUCCAACACGGAAGCCAGUCGCUCCAAUGUGUCGGAGGAAACACCAUACACCUGGCGACCUGGUCAGCGUGCACUGCGCCCAGCCUGCCACAGGAGUUGCUAGUGCGCGAUGAGACAAGGAUAUCCCUGCCGGCCAAACCCUCCCUAACCCAGACAACGUUGGGCCAAUUGUGCGUCGCCCCAUGGACCUCCCGGUCGCGGCCGGCUGCGAUAGAGCCUGGGCUCAAACCCAGAAUCUCUGGUGGCACAGCGAUGCAGUGCCUUAGACCACUGCGCCACCCGGGAGGCCACCGGUUGCUGAAAACACAAUCAUCGCGGCAUGAACGAGUGACAAAUGGUGGCCAAGGGUGGUCCAUUUCAAAAUCAUUCCUUCCUCCCUCGCACCUUGCCCUGCAAGUGUAUACUCAUCAAACGUCAUCAGAAGUGUCCACUUCAUUUGAUGGCUGAGGGGAUAGGGUGUCUUUUAAGUGUUUGGACCGCAAUCUAGCAAAGCCGACGAAAAACGAAGGCUGAGGGGUUUACGUUGCAAACUUCCCUUGCGUGGCUCAUCAUUUGGACCGCCCACCAAGAUGACGAGGGUGUGUCUUUUGACACAGUUUAUAAUUUUUUAUUUUUAUUUCACCUUUAUUUAACCAGGUAGACUAGUUGAGAACAAGUUCUCAUUUACAACUGCGACCUGGCCAAGAUAAAGCAAAGCAGUUCAACACAUACAACAACACAGAGUUACACAUGGAAUAAACAAACAUACAGUCAAUAAUACAGUAGAAAAAGUCUAUAUACAUUGUGUGCAAAGGAGGUAAGAUAAGGGAGGUAAGGCAAUAGAUAGGCCAUGGUGGCGAAGUAAUCACAAUAUAGCAAUUAAACACGAAUGAUAGAUGUGCAGAAGAUGAAUGUGCAAGUAGAGAUACUGGGGUGCAAAGGAGCAAGAUAAAUAAAUAAAUACAGUAUGGGGAUGAGGUAGUUGGAUGGGCUAUUUACAGAUGGGCUAUGAACAGGUGCAGCGAUCUGUGAGCUGCUCUGACAGCUGGUGCUUAGAGUUAGUGAGGGAGAUAUGAGUCUCCAGCUUCAGUGAUUUUUGCAGUUUGUUCCAGUCAUUGGCAGCAGAGAACUGGAAGGAAAGGCAGCCAAAGGAGGGAUUGGCUUUGGGGGUGACCAGUGAAAUAUACCUGCUGGAGCGCGUGCUACUGGUGGGUGCUGCUAUGGUGACCAGUGAGAAGGAUAAGGGUACAGCUAAAGGCUAAAAGAACUGGUUGUCUAGUAUGUUCAGAACAGAGAGUAAAAGGAGCAGGUUUCUGGGCGCGAUAGAAUAGAUUCAAGGCAUAAUGUACAGACAAAGGUAUGGUAGGACGUGAAUACAGUGGAGGUAAACCUAGGCAUUGAGUGAUGAUGAGAGAGAUAUUGUCUCUAGAAACAUAAUUUAAACCAGGUGAUGUCACCGCAUGUGUGGGAGGUGGAAUUAAAGGGUUAGCUAAGGCAUAUUGAGCAGGGCUAGAGGCUCUACAGUGAAAUAAUAUAAUCACUAACCAGAACAGCAAUGGACAAGGCAUAUUGACGUUAGGGAGAGGCAUGCUUAGCCGAGUGAUCAUAGGAGUCCAGUGAGUAGUUAGGCUGGCUGGAGACACAGCGUUUCAGACAGCUAGCGGGCCGGGGCUAGCAAGCUAGCAUAAGGGCUUUAGAGGGACGUCGCGACGGAAGAAGUCUGUUAUAGCCUCUUCGUGCGGAGCCUCCUCGUGCUGUUACGUCGGUAGUCCAGUCGUGAUGGAUUAGUAGGGUUCCGUGUAGUAAAGGGGUCCAGUCCAAUUGGCAAAAUAGGUAUAGUGGCCCAAGAAAUUGGCCGAUGGAUCUCUUCAGCUAACAGUCCAAUAUGCUCCAGACAGCUAGCGGGCCACGGCUAGCAGAUGGGCAUUCAGGGGACGUCGCGACGUAGUAGUCAGUUGAAGAACCCCCUUGAGCGGAUUACGUCGGUAGUCCAGUCAUGAAGGAUCUGCGGGUCUCUGGACCGGCAGUAAAAGGGGUCCAGGCCAAUUGGCAAAAUAUGUAUUGUAAGAAAAUAUUUGCAUUUUUUUUUUUACCUUUAUUUAACUAGGCAGGUCAGUUAAGAACAAAUUCUUAUUUUCAAUGACGGCCUAGGAACAGUGGAUUAACUACCUUGUACAGGGGCAGAACGACAGAUUUGUACCUUGUCAGCUCGGGGAUUCAAACUUGCAACCUUUCAGUUACUAGUCCAACACUCUAACCACUAGACUAUGCUGCCCCCACAUGACAUAGGCAGCUCAAAAGAAGAUUUGUAUAGGAUACUUUUCAAAAUUCAAUAGUUAUACAAUAAAACAUAGCCAACAUUAAAUUCUGUGAGAAUAAUUCCAAUGUGUUUUACUCAUUUCCACAUGAAGGAAAUGUAAUCUCUGUGAUAUAUGAAUGAAUUGUUUAUGAAAUAUUUCAGAUACCCUGCUAAAAGUAGGCCUAAUGAGUUGUUUACUGUUGUGUCAUGUCAAUCAUGAAGAGGACAUACUGUAUCAAUACUUCAAAUGGC